rnacentral:misc_RNA from 1 species
GAUGAAGAACGUGGCGAAAUGCGAUACGUAGUGUGAAUUGCAGAAUUCAGUGAAUCAUCGAAUCUUUGAACGCACAUUGCACCUCUCGGUAUUCCGGGAGGUAUGCCUGUUCGAGCGUCAUUUGUACCCUCAAGCUCUGCUUGGUGUUGGGUGUUUGUUCCGCCUCUGUGUGUGAACUCGCCUCAAAACAAUUGGCAGCCGGCGUACUUGUUUCGGAGCGCAGCACAUUUUGCGAUCCAGAUCAACGUACAGCGGCAUCCAAGAAGCCUUAUUUAACGCUCUUGACCUCGGAUCAGGUAGGGAUACCCGCUGAACUUAAGCAUAUCAAUAAGCGGAGGA